UACGUAGGGUGCGAGCGUUGUCCGGAAUUACUGGGCGUAAAGAGCUCGUAGGUGGUUUGUCGCGUUGUUCGUGAAAACUCACAACUCAAUUGUGGGCGUGCGGGCGAUACGGGCAGACUGGAGUACUGCAGGGGAGACUGGAAUUCCUGGUGUAGCGGUGAAAUGCGCAGAUAUCAGGAGGAACACCGGUGGCGAAGGCGGCGACCUGGUCCUUGACUGACGCUGAGGCGCGAAAGCGUGGGGAGCAAACAGG
rnacentral:rRNA from 1 species